rnacentral:rRNA from 1 species
GGGGGUAAAUUAAUAGGUUAUAAUUAAUAAAAAAAUUUUUAAUAUUGGGGGAUAUUGAAGUAUUUUUUAAAAAAAAAAUAACUUAUUUUAUAGUAAAUUAGUAUUGAGGGGGAAAUUUGAAAUAGUUGAAAAUUAAUUGAUAAUAAAGUAGUUUUUAUUUAGUGUAUCUUGUGUAUCAGAGUUUAUUAAAAAAUAUUUUUUUUUAAAAAAAAUCUCGAAUUUAAAAGAGUUAAUUAAUUAUAAGAGUUAAUGUAGAAAAAUUAUUUUAAAUAAUUAAUUUGAAAUGAAAUGUUAAUCGUUUUUAAAUAUAUCUAGUUAUUUUAGAAAAAAAUUUAAUUUUAAAUUUAAAAAAUUUUAUUUUUAAUUAUAAUUAAAAAUAAAAUUUUGAAAUUAAAUAUAUUAAGGGAUAAGCUUUAAUAUAGAAAUUUAUAAUUAAUUAAAAUUAAAAUAAAAAUUUUAAAAUUUAUAUUGUUUAAAAAUUAUAAUUUAUUAUAAAAAAAUUUUAUUUUUAAUAAAAUUUAAUAAAAAAAAUUUAAUUUUAUAUAAAAUAAUAAUUAAAAUAAAAAAAAAUUAGUAAUAAUGAUAAAAUUAGUAUAUUUAAGUAAAAUAUAAUUUAAUUAAUUUAAAUUAAAUUAAAGGAAUUCGGCAAAAUUUUAUAUUCGCUUGUUUAUCAAAAACAUGUCUUUUAGUUAAUAAUUUAAAGUCUAAUCUGCCCACUGAUUAUAAAAAUUAAAGGGCUGCAGUAUAUUGACUGUACAAAGGUAGCAUAAUCAAUAGUCUUUUAAUUGAAGACUUGUAUGAAAGAUUUGACGAAAUAUGAACUGUCUCUAUUUUAUAUGUAAAAUUUAAUUUUUUAGUUAAAAAGCUAAAAUAAAUUUAAAAGACGAGAAGACCCUAUAGAGUUUUAUAUAAAAGUUAUUUGAGGUUAUUUAUAUAAUUGAAGGUUAAAAAUAAAUUUAAUAUUUUAUUGGGGUGAUAAAAAAAUUAAUUUAACUUUUUUUUUAAUAAAACAUAAAUAAUUGAAUAAUUGAUCCAUUUUUAAUGAUUAAAAGAAAAAAUUACCUUAGGGAUAACAGCGUAAUAUUUUUUUUUAGUACAAAUAAGAAAAAAAGUUUGCGACCUCGAUGUUGGAUUAAGAUAAAAUUUAAAUGCAAAAGUUUAAAAUUUUGAUCUGUUCGAUCAUUAAAAUCUUACAUGAUCUGAGUUCAAACCGGUGUGAGCCAGGUUGGUUUCUAUCUUUAAAUAAGAAAAAUAUUUUAGUACGAAAGGAUUAAAUAUUUUUAAUAAUUAAAAUUUAAUGAAUAUUAAUAAUAAUAAUUAU